GGCGGAUCAAUAAGUCAGUGGUGAAAACCUGCAGCUUAACUGUAGAACUGCCAUUGAUACUGUUAGUCUUGAGUACGGUCAAGGUAGGCGGAAUGUGUAAUGUAGCGGUGAAAUGCUUAGAUAUUACACAGAACACCGAUUGCGAAGGCAGCUUACUGGGCCAUUACUGACGCUGAUGCACGAAAGCGUGGGGAGCGAACAGGAUUAGAUACCCUGGUAGCCCACGCCGUAAACGAUGAUCACUCGCUGUUGGCGAUACACAGUCAGCGGCUAAGCAAAAGCAUUAAGUGAUCCACCUGGGGAGUACGGCCGCAAGGCUGAAACUCAAAGGAAUUGACGGGGGCCCGCACAAGCGGAGGAACAUGUGGUUUAAUUCGAUGAUACGCGAGGAACCUUACCUGGGCUUAAAUGCAGAGUGCAUGAAGUGGAAACAUUUCUUUCCUUCGGGACUCUUUGCAAGGUGCUGCAUGGUUGUCGUCAGCUCGUGCCGUGAGGUGUCGGGUUAAGUCCCAUAACGAGCGCAACCCUUAUCGUUAGUUGCCAGCGGGUCAUGCCGGGAACUCUAACGAAACUGCCGGUGUAAACCGUGAGGAAGGUGGGGAUGACGUCAAAUCAGCACGGCCCUUAUGUCCAGGGCUACACACGUGUUACAAUGGCCGGUACAGAGGGCAGCUACCUGGAGACAGGAUGCGAAUCUCGAAAGCCGGUCUCAGUUCGGAUCGGAGUCUGCAACUCGACUCCGUGAAGCUGGAGUC
rnacentral:rRNA from 1 species